rnacentral:SRP_RNA from 1 species
GUCGAGCUUGGCAACGCAAGCUUAUGAUCCGAGUGGAGACAAUAAGGUGAUGGGAAUGUUUUGGUGUGAUGUUUGAGAUAUGUUAGUAAAUGAACAUUCAUC